GAAGUGCGAUAAGCAAUGCGAAUUGCAGAACCGUGAGUCAUCAGAUUUUUGAACGCAACUGGCGCUAAUUGGCUCUCCAAUUAGCAUGCUUGUUUCAGUGUCUCUUUAUCUCCUCACCCAAAUCAUAAUGCGAGAGAUAACCUUCUCUUGCUAAGCAUGAAAGCACUCUACGCUUUGCGAGCGACUUCGAUUCGUCGAGGGUCGCACUCAAUGCAGCAGUCACAUUGCUCACAAUGUGAACUCAUUGAGAGCUGAGGUAGCGCAACAUUAGUUGUAAGUGCUUAGACACUCAAACUUACUUGUAUCUGAAAUCAAGCAGGAUCACCCGCUGAACUUAA
rnacentral:misc_RNA from 1 species